UGAGAGUUUGAUCCUGGCUCAGGAUGAACGCUAGCUACAGGCUUAACACAUGCAAGUCGAGGGGCAGCGAGGUUGAAGCUUGCUUCAACCGUCGGCGACCGGCGCACGGGUGAGUAACACGUAUCCAACCUGCCUUCCACUCGGGAAUAGCCUUUCGAAAGAAAGAUUAAUGCCCGAUGGUACGGAAUUUUCGCAUGAGAGUUCCUUUAAAGAAUUUCGGUGGAAGAUGGGGAUGCGUUCCAUUAGGCAGUUGGCGGGGUAACGGCCCACCAAACCGACGAUGGAUAGGGGUUCUGAGAGGAAGGUCCCCCACAUUGGAACUGAGGCACGGUCCAAACUCCUACGGGAGGCAGCAGUGAGGAAUAUUGGUCAAUGGACGAGAGUCUGAACCAGCCAAGUAGCGUGAAGGAUGACUGCCCUAUGGGUUGUAAACUUCUUUUAUACGGGAAUAAAGUGAGGCACGUGUGCCUUUUUGUAUGUACCGUAUGAAUAAGGAUCGGCUAACUCCGUGCCAGCAGCCGCGGUAAUACGGAGGAUCCGAGCGUUAUCCGGAUUUAUUGGGUUUAAAGGGAGCGUAGGCGGAAUUUUAAGUCAGCUGUGAAAGUUUGCGGCUCAACCGUAAAAUUGCAGUUGAUACUGGAGUUCUUGAGUGCGGUAAAGGCAGGCGGAAUUCGUGGUGUAGCGGUGAAAUGCUUAGAUAUCACGAAGGACUCCUAUUGCGAAGGCAGCUUGCUGGACCGUAACUGACGCUGAUGCUCGAAAGUGCGGGUAUCAAACAGGAUUAGAUACCCUGGUAGUCCGCACAGUAAACGAUGAAUACUCGCUGUUGGCGAUAUACAGUCAGCGGCCAAGCGAAAGCAUUAAGUAUUCCACCUGGGGAGUACGCCGGCAACGGUGAAACUCAAAGGAAUUGACGGGGGCCCGCACAAGCGGAGGAACAUGUGGUUUAAUUCGAUGAUACGCGAGGAACCUUACCCGGGCUUGAAUUGCUUCUGAAUAACCUGGAAACAGGUUAGCCGCAAGGCAGAAGUGAAGGUGCUGCAUGGUUGUCGUCAGCUCGUGCCGUGAGGUGUCGGCUUAAGUGCCAUAACGAGCGCAACCCUCAUCUCCAGUUGCCAUCAGGUCAUGCUGGGAACUCUGGAGAGACUGCCGUCGUAAGAUGUGAGGAAGGUGGGGAUGACGUCAAAUCAGCACGGCCCUUACGUCCGGGGCUACACACGUGUUACAAUGGGAGGUACAGCAGGCAGCUACCUGGCGACAGGAUGCUAAUCCCGAAAGCCUCUCUCAGUUCGGACUGGAGUCUGCAACCCGACUCCACGAAGCUGGAUUCGCUAGUAAUCGCGCAUCAGCCACGGCGCGGUGAAUACGUUCCCGGGCCUUGUACACACCGCCCGUCAAGCCAUGAAGGCCGGGGGUACCUGAAGUACGUAACCGCAAGGAGCGUCCUAGGGUAAAACUGGUGAUUGGGGCUAAGUCGUAACAAGGUAGCCGUAAAU
rnacentral:rRNA from 1 species